rnacentral:rRNA from 1 species
AAUCGAGGCCCCGUAAUUGGAAUGAGUACACUUUAAAUCCUUUAACGAGGAUCAAUUGGAGGGCAAGUCUGGUGCCAGCAGCCGCGGUAAUUCCAGCUCCAAUAGCGUAUAUUAAAGUUGUUGCAGUUAAAAAGCUCGUAGUUGGAUCUCAGGAUUUGGAUGGAUGGUUCGCUUUCGGGCGCUACUAUCUGUCUGACCUACUCUAGUCGUGGAUGCCUUGGGUGCUCUUAAUUGAGUGCUUUUGGUGCCCGACGCAAUUACUUUGAAAAAAAUUAGAGUGCUCAAAGCAGGCGUAUUGCCUGAAUAGUGUUGCAUGGAAUAAUGAAAUAGGAGUUUACUUCUAUUUUGUUGGUUUUCGGAGGUGAACUAAUGAUUAACAGGGACAGACGGGGGCAUUUGUAUGGAGGGGUUAGAGGUGAAAUUCUUGGAUCCUCUCCAGACAAACUACUGCGAAAGCAUUUGCCAGGAAUGUUUUCACUAAUCAAGAACGAAAGUCAGAGGUUCGAAGACGAUCAGAUACCGUCCUAGUUCUGACCAUAAAUGAUGCCAUCUAACAAUCCACGAAGUUUGCUUGUACGAACUCGUGGGCGGUCCCCGGGAAACCAAAGAUUUUGGGUUCCGGGGGAAGUAUGGUUGCAAAGCUGAAACUUAAAGGAAUUGACGGAAGGGCACCACCAGGAGUGGAGCCUGCGGCUUAAUUUGACCCAACACGGGAAACCUCACCCGGCCCGGACACUUUUAGGAUUGACAGAUUGAAGGCUCUUUCUUGAUCAAGUGGUUGGUGGUGCAUGGCCGUUCUUAGUUGGUGGAGCGAUUUGUCUGGUUAAUUCCGAUAACGAACGAGACUCUACUCUGCUAAAUAGAACGUUGAUAUAUAAAAGUCAGUGCUGACUUCUUAGAGAGACUAACGGCGUUUAGCCGUGUGAGAAAGAGCAAUAACAGGUCUGUGAUGCCCUUAGAUGUCCGGAGCCGCACGCGCGCUACACUGACUGCAGCAACUAGUAUGCUCCUGGUUUGAAAAAACUGGGUAACCUGGUUGAAUUGCAGGCGUGACAGGGAUCAGAGUUUGCAAUUAUCCUCUGUGAACGAGGAAUUCCCAGUAAGCGCAAGUCAUUAGCUUGUGCUGAUUACGUCCCUGCCCUUUGUACACACCGCCCGUCGCUACUACCGAUUGAAUGGUUUAGUGAGGUCUUCGGAUUGGUGCUGAUGGAGUGGUUCUCUGCUCUGUUAGUGCCGAGAAGAUGAUCAAACUUGAUCAUUUAGAGGAAGUAAAAGUCGUAACAAGGU